rnacentral:rRNA from 1 species
AUUGAACGCUGGCGGCAUGCUUUACACAUGCAAGUCGAACGGUAACAGGGAGCUUGCUCCGCUGACGAGUGGCGAACGGGUGAGUAAUGCGUCGGAACGUGCCGAGUAGUGGGGGAUCACGCAUCGAAAGGUGUGCUAAUACCGCAUACGUACUGAGGUAGAAAGUGGGGGACCUUCGGGCCUCACGCUAUUCGAGCGGCCGACGUCUGAUUAGCUAGUUGGUGAGGUAAAGGCUCACCAAGGCGACGAUCAGUAGCGGGUCUGAGAGGAUGAUCCGCCACACUGGGACUGAGACACGGCCCAGACUCCUACGGGAGGCAGCAGUGGGGAAUUUUGGACAAUGGGCGAAAGCCUGAUCCAGCAAUGCCGCGUGCGUGAAGAAGGCCUUCGGGUUGUAAAGCGCUUUUGUCUGGGAGCAAAUCCUGGCCUCUAAUACAGGUCGGGGAUGAGAGUACCAGAAGAAUAAGGACCGGCUAACUACGUGCCAGCCGCCGCGGUAAGAC